rnacentral:misc_RNA from 1 species
AUCAAGAUAACGAUGAUGAUUAUGAUGAAUAUAAGCUUUUACGUAACAGAAAUUUUAAUAAAGAUGGAUUAAGUAAUUUGAAGUAUGAUUUACGUGAGUUGAAGUCUGAGAAGCUGUUUACCCAUGUAAAAGUUCAUCUCGUGGAAUUACACGUGGAAGCAACAAAAUACAAGUCAACUAAAUCAUACGUGACACUUAUGUCAAACAAAACAGAAAGAUCAAAAGUGAUGGAACGACCAAACAAGACGAAAAGACCAAAUGGGACGGAAAGACCAAACGGGACGGAAAGACCAAACGGGACGGAAAGACCAAACAAGACGGAAAUAUCAAACCAGACAGAAA